AGAUUUGAAGAAAAAAUACUGACUGCAAGCAGCAUUUAAGACCCCAGGAAACAUUAUUGUUUUUUCUUCAGAAAGCAUAGAAUUGGGAUUUACCAAAGCUGCACAGGUUAAAGACAAAAGGAAAUUUCGAAAUGAUGCUGAAAGUAAAUUUCUGCACAGUUCAUCAUAGCAAAAAAGGGAAUGGAAGAAGCAAGAAACUCAAGAGUGACGGGGUGUUGGUUCCUGGGCAAAGGGGUGCUGGGAGUUGGGAAGAAGUUGGAAAUGGAUAAGAAGACCAGCAAUCUGGAUAAAGAAAUCCUCCCUAAACCAAAUGAUGCUUUACACACACUCAUAUUUGGCUAUUUUUAAUGUUUUGUUCUUGUGCUUGUUGAUGUGUUUAAUUUUAAUCAUGGAAAUAGAAUUGGGUUCCCCAUUUUAACUUCUGAAAUAGAAGAAAAAAGACAACCGUAAAAAAGGCUGAGGGGCAGGAGGAAUUGGGUCCUCGGCAAGAGCAGGAAUUCAGAAUCAAAGGUAGCUGUAUUAUCCAAAAGACUUUACAAAUUCAUGGAAAUGCUGACAAGUUUACUGUGCUUCCCAUAGGAAGUAGAUAGAUAACUAUAUUUUGUUUAAAUUUCAAAGAACAGAGUAACACUGGCUAACGCCUGGGGCACAUUUCAUUGAUUUAUUCAAUGUAUCUCAGGAAUCAGUUUGACUCAUCACUUUUAAUUUCCUUCAAUUUAACAAACAUUUAAAUUUAUUAAAUACCUUCUGAUUCUUUGUUGAGUAAGUUAUGUAACAUUUUUUGAAAGACAAAUAUGUGUAAAUGCUAUAGGGUAAAGACAAUUUAAUUAGAAUUGUUCUAAUAAUGAACAUAUAUUAUAAUACAGGAUAUUCCAUAAUCAUAUCAAAUGAUGAUAUAAGACAGAGUUAAGGGACAUGAAAAGGGAUAAAUUGUUACAGAUGUUCAGAGGAGAGGAAAAUUUAUUCUGUAUGUAAAGAAAAGGGGAUAUUGAUAGAAAAAAGAGAAUUUGCACUGGGCCCUGGAUAACAGGAAGGAUUUGAUCACAUGGUGAUAAGAUAUACAUGCUACUGAGAAUAAACAGGUACAAAAAAAUGGAUGUAGGAAGAUGCAUGGGGAAUAUGGAGACCAUCAAGCUCUUAACGUGUUGUUGUGCAUGAACAGAAAAAGGUCAAUGAAUUACAAGGCUGGAAGAGAGACAGGUUUCAGAACCAUGGCUAUCAGUGUUGGGCAAGAGGCGUUCUUUGCAGGGUUUUUAAUUUUUUGGGGUGUUGAGAGGUAAGAGGGGGAGCUUCUGGAACUCCACUCCAGCAAUAUAAAUCCUUUACCUGUGUCUUGAAUAUUUUGCAUAAGACUAUUUGGGAAACCAUUGCUCAAGUCCUUGAAGAACUCAUUUGAAUUAAGGAGACUGCCAAGAAAUAUCUGGUGGUGCGGAUGCAUGUCAGAAAGAUUUAAGAAACAGAAUGUAUGGAAUUAGGCAAUAUCCAGUUUUUUAAUCCAUUAAUGUUACCAACACUCUCGUAAUUGUUGAGGGUGAAUCAUAGGAGUGCUAUCAUUCCAGAUAUCACUUUCUAUUUUAAUCCACAUAAUUAAUCCCAUAACACAUCCUUGAUCUCUCUAACACCUUCUGUCUCCAACAAUACUACUUGGUUUCCUUGCUGUUUUGCCUAUUGCUCCCUUCUAGUCUACCUCACCUAAUAGUCAGAGAGAACUUCUAAAAAACAUAAUUUGAAUCAUGUAUUUCUCCGGUUAAAUAUACCAAUGACUUGAUAUAAUGCUAACAAUAGGUUCUAAUUCCUUAUUAUGCUGUGCAAAAUCCAACAUGAUCCGGUCCAUGUAAUUUUACAACUCAUUGUAAUUUGUCCAUUCUUGCUUUUUAAAUGCUCUGGAAUAUUCCAAGCCUUUUCCUACCUUUAGGACUUUGCAUUUGUUUGUCUUUAUGGCUGAAAUUUGAUCUUUUUUUAACCUUUAUUACAUGGCAGGCUCUGGCUUAUCCUUUAGUAGUCAGUCAAAUAUCACCUCUUUAGUGUCAUUAUCCCUCAUGAUACUACCUCAAGUACCCACAUCAUCCCCAACAUUUUAUUAUUUAUAUCAACUUGAAAAUUCCUUACUGAAAUUAUCAUAAUUGUCUCUUCCACAUCACUAUGUUUUCUCAGUGAUAUAGCAAUCAUCUUGUUCCUGUGUGUGUUUACUUGUUUAAUCUUGUUCUAGGGUAUAGCUCCCAUGUUUUGUCCUUAUCUGUAUCCAAGGACCUAGAAAAUUGCUUGGCACAUAGGAAUUAUACAUUAAGCAUUUUAAAAAUUAGUGGAUAAAUGAUUGCAAUAAAACAGGGAAAUUUAUUAAAAUCUAUUAUAAAAUAUCCUGUUUGAGUGACCAGGAGAAUGGUGUAUUUUUAACAGAACUGAAGAACUGGCAAUAGAAAGGCUAUGCUAAAGAGAGAAUAGCAAGCCAACUGUGACAUGCACAGGUUAGCACAACCAAUUUUAGCACACAAGUAUUAGAGGUAAAAAGCACCCUGGUGAUAUAAAAUAAAAUAAAUACAGCGUGUUUCUGUUCCUAGAAAUUCCCAUUUAGUAGCUUACAGCUCUGUGCAUAUAGUUGACUGUGGAAAGGCAAUAAAGUAGAUGUCCUCAAUUACAGUUUUAGUUCCUCUGACUUACUAGGUCCUGGUUACCAGAGUACCUAGAGCAAGAGUGGACCCAUGGCCUGUAAGAAUGUAUAUAUCAGGGGCUAAUUAGGAAACAGAUGACACUCAAAUGGGUAUGUAAAACGCCAUAGAAAGUGUGGGCAUGGUGAAUGAAAAUCACUGUGGGAUGGUGAAGCGCAGUGGGAACCUGUUACCAUUCCGUAUGUUAGGAUAAAAGGAAAGAGCAGCUGUCUGAAUGCGGUUAACCUGGGACUCAGUAGGGGGAAUGCUAACAGAAUAGAAACCUUCCCUCAUUUCUUUACUGUGAUGAUAAGUUGAUGAUGCUGCUCAAUGGCCAACCCAACCAGAUCAGAGGUCAAGAGGACCUCUUGCUCUAUCUAUAAUAUUCCACCUCCUAAGAGGGAGAGAAAAAUUAAGUGGCAUGAAAUCCCAAUAGUUUGUCUUUAUCUAUUUCCUUUUCUAUCUAGAAAAGUGCCUGUCACUUAAUAAUUCCUCAAUAAGUGUUUUAAAAAUGAGUGGAUGAAUCAAUACAAAUAGGAUGGCAUCGAAAAAAUAAAAGUUAUUUUAAGCUGCUACAAAAUAUUCUGUCACAGUGACCAGAAAAAUGUUGAUACCUGAGGGGAUAUCUGAGGGUAUCUGAGAGGCAGAUGGAAAUUAUCUAGCACGAUUUCUCUUCUAUUAGCUAUAACUAAUUUGAAUGAUGCAUUUUUGCAGAUACUACUUAAAGAGGUACACUAUGUGCAAAGUAUUAUUCUAAACCCUUUGCAGCUCAGUGAGACAGGAUGCUGAGGAACCACAAAAGUGGUUGUCUGUUCUAGGUCACACAGGUGCCAAGUGUUGGACCUGAAACUUGAACUGAUGUUUUUCUAAUUCCAAAGUUAGUCACUUUCACAAAGGAAUAUUGCAUACCAGCCAUCCCUUUCUCCCUAUGGUCAUUAAUUACCCAAAUCAUUUUAUUUCUCUCAUUCUCCUUUUCUUCUAUAAACAAAACAUUUAAAUGAGAUGAUUUCUAAAAUUCAUGCCAAUUCUAGGAUUCUGUUUAUCUAGAUAGGUUAUAUUUCUUUGUGUAAUUCUAUACUAUGAGAGAAAUAAAUAAAAAUUUGGAGGCAAAAUUCUAAGGGAAUACAAAAGUAGUAAUAAUUACUCCUCGAUAUAACUUGGAUUUCUAAAGAAGUACUCAGGAAGGAAACACCAAAGCGUAAGUCCAAAAACACCUUUACUUCUGUGGAAAUGAUUACAUUACAGUUCUUUAUGAGUUGAAACUGCUUUACUUGGUGAUUUAUCACAUAUGCAAGGAAGCUACCUAAUGAAUAAUGAAACAGAUAUCACCAGUUUUGAAUCUCACUGAAGCCUGUCCUUUAAUUAUAUUGGUUUCCUGAGGUUGGUGUCAUGUGAUACCAGAGGGUCUAUCUAAGAUACUCAUGGACCAAACAGUAUACAAGAGUUACUAAAAAACAGGAACGUUUCCAUGUUUUGUCAUGCUCAUUAAUGUGAAUCAUGGGAAGUUUUCAGAAUUGGAUCAAAAAUAAGAGAUGCCUGUGUUUGGAGGUAAGCUCUGCAGUUUCCAGCCCAGUAAUGCAAAACAGUUUACGUAACCCUGAAAUCUUAUUUUAUUAAGGUUUUUUUUUUUGAGGAUAAGAUUAUAUAAAGUGCCCAGCAUUGUGUUUGCUGUAUAGAAGGCAUUUAAUAAGUGGUGGCUAUAAUUACUAUUACUAAUAAAAGACAAAAAUAUCAUAAUAAUUAUAAUUAUAAAUCCUUUCUUAUUGUUUAGCAGAAAUUCUUAUGAUUUAAGCCAAUUUCCUAUGGAUCUAACUCAGUUAAGCAUCUGAGUGACAUCAAAUUUUUAAAGGCUAUCAUUUGCUUAAACACAAAUCAUCACUCUAAUGCUCUUUGUUAAAAAUCUGUUUUUACCAGCAUCUUCUUUCAUAGGAUUGAAACAAACAAGCAAACCUUACUCCCUUUAGAGCUCUUAAAAUCUCUAAGAAACUCCAUUUCAGUUCAUUUUUCAAGAUAUGUAGGAAUAGAGGCUAAAAUGAGAUACUAACAUUUCUGUAUAGUAUCAAGAGUUUGAGAUUUAUCUCAGAGAGAAUGGGCUGAAAACAGGAGUAGCAAGGUAAAUAUGCCAUACUCAUACUCAGAGGGAAAAAGCAUUAGAUACAGAUAUUAAGGAAUUGCUAAAGACUAAGAGAUGAUUUAACAAAUAUAGAUAUAUCAUAAACAUGAAAUGUAGGUCAUUUUUAUUAUAAAAUGACAUACUCACUGAAGAUGCUCAAGUAACACUUAAGUAUAUAAACAAAAGGUGAAAGUAAGAGCCCAUUUCCCCCAAUCUCAUUUUUCUGUAUCAUGUAUAUAAAGUCCAGUCUUGCUUUAGAGUCUCCCUCUCAAACAUUUCCAGGAAUCCUGGGAUUAUUUUUAUGUAUCAUCUGAAUAUAACCUAGACCUCUUCAGAUUGUAGCAGACAAGAUAAUUUUCCUGCUGUGAGUCUCAGUAGUGGUUAUACUGGUGUAUUUGUGUGAGGCUAGUGUUGUUAUCUCCACAUUAAUUAAAACACCUGCUUGUAGAUACCGUCCUCUCUAUGCCAUGUUGUACAUUGUAGAUGUCACUUCUUGUUGUGGAGACACUGUAAGGUGAACUCCAGACAGCCAAGUCCUAUAUAAUCUCCAUCCCUGAAUGCUGCGGAACAUGUGACCUGCUUCCAGCCAACAUAAAAAGACAGAAGUGACAGUCAGUCUUCUCAUGAUUAUGUUGGCUCUUAGAAGACUCCAUCUUGGCAGACCUGAGAGAGAGGUUCUUCUGCUGGCUUUGAAAAAAUAAGCUGCCACGAUAUGAAAAGACCUAUCAGAGGAUUGUAUGGUAAAGCCUACAAUUGGCCUUUAGGUGAGAGUAGCUAUAAUUUGACAAUAAGAAAAGUCCCCUCACUCUUGCAGCUGAAAGAAACUGAAUUCUACCAAUGGUUAUGUGUACCUGCAAGAAGAACCUGUACUCCAGAAAGGAAUGGAGGCUGGCCAGUACCUUUAUUUAUUUAAAUCUGCUGUGAGAUAAUAAAUGCUAUUUUAAGUUUCUAUUGCAUGAAUUUUACUGAUGACCUCUACAGGGUCACUACUGGUAGCCUGUGGAUAACUAUACAUACGUUCUAAUUUUCAUUAGUGAAUUCCACAUCAUAGUGGUAAUUCUGCUUCUUCCUCCAUAUAGAUGCUCACAUGUGAUGGUGGUGGGAGUAGUGAGAAUAAAUGAAGGAGAAUUCAGGUUGGCUACAUAUUGAACCUAGACCCAACUUAAAGACUAAGACUCAUCAUUUCAGUCCCACCAAAUUCCUAACUAGAGGAUGGGUUUCUCUCAGAGGGAGACCCAAAUGAAUACACUUCCUGAUUCUGCUUGAGGCUCUCCAGUGAGUCACAUAGGUACGAUGUAAAUCUGAUCCAACUGAAGACAGAUUAAGUUCUUUCUCAAGAACUUGACAGAUCAGGACAUUGCAAUAUUCAUUUUAUUUUUAAUUUUUAAUUAGGACUUAUUAGAAAUUAAGUUUAUAUUAUGAAUUAAAUGAAUUAAGAUAUGAGAUUUAUCACUUACUAUUAUAAUCUAUGGUUCUCCUCAUUGUUGCCAGUUUUCCAAACACUUCUGCUAAAAUAUACUGUACAGACACAAACCAUAAACUAGGUAUUUCUUUUAUAAAAAUGGGAAAAUACUAUACACUUUUGAGAGCUACAAAUAUAUUAUAGCAUUUUGCUAAGCUAGGACAAAUAAAUAUACACUUUAUUAUUUUUUUUUUUGUCUUU